rnacentral:lncRNA from 1 species
UGGAUACUGGAAGGGUGAAAACGGUAUGCAGAGAAACCCUGCAGGGUAUGGCGUUCAGUACAGCUUCCAGGAAAUGUCCAGUGGUGGAGGAGUGAUGAACAUGCCACAUCACAACAUGUCAAUGGUUCGAAGGGAAAAGGAAAGCUUUAGGAAUGAAAGCCGCCAGAUGUCCCGCACACACAGCAUGGCUCGAACAGAAAGGAACCUGUCUGAGCAGAGUUGAUUUAACUCUGGGGAUUUUGCUGUGUACACAAAACACC